rnacentral:rRNA from 1 species
UGGGGAAUAUUGGACAAUGGGCGCAAGCCUGAUCCAGCAAUGCCGCGUGAGUGAAGAAGGCCUUAGGGUUGUAAAGCUCUUUCGCCUGCGACGAUGAUGACGGUAGCAGGAGAAGAAGCCCCGGCUAAUUCCGUGCCAGCAGCCGCGGUAAUACGGAAGGGGCUAGCGUUGUCCGGAAUCACUGGGCGUAAAGCGCGCGUAGGCGGCCGGUCAAGUGCGGCGUGAAAGUCCUGGGCUCAACCUGGGGACGGCGCUGCGGACUGUUCGGCUGGAGUCCGGAAGAGGGUGGUGGAAUUCCGAGUGUAGAGGUGAAAUUCGUAGAUAUUCGGAGGAACACCGGUGGCGAAGGCGGCCACCUGGUCCGGUACUGACGCUGAAGCGCGAAAGCGUGGGGAGCAAACAGGAUUAGAUACCUUGGUAGUCCACGCCCUAAACGAUGUCGACUAGUUGUUCGGUGCAGCAAUGCGCUGGGUAACGCAGCUAACGCGUGAAGUCGACCG